rnacentral:rRNA from 1 species
UACGUAGGGUGCAAGCGUUGUCCGGAAUUAUUGGGCGUAAAGAGCUCGUAGGCGGUUUGUCGCGUCUGCUGUGAAAACUCGGGGCUUAACUCCGGGCCUGCAGUGGGUACGGGGCAGACUAGAGUGCGGUAGGGGGAGACUGGAAUUCCUGGUGUAGCGGUGGAAUGCGCAGAUAUCAGGAGGAACACCGGUGGCGAAGGCGGGUCUCUGGGCCGAUACUGACGCUGAGGAGCGAAAGCGUGGGGAGCGAACAGG